rnacentral:rRNA from 1 species
CCUACGGGUGGCUGCAGUGGGGAAUAUUGGACAAUGGGGGCAACCCUGAUCCAGCCAUGCCGCGUGUGUGAAGAAGGCCCUCGGGUUGUAAAGCACUUUCAGUGAGGAAGAACGCCUGGUGGUUAAUACCCAUCAGGAAAGACAUCACUCACAGAAGAAGCACCGGCUAACUCCGUGCCAGCAGCCGCGGUAAUACGGAGGGUGCGAGCGUUAAUCGGAAUUACUGGGCGUAAAGCGCGCGUAGGUGGCUUGAUAAGCCGGUUGUGAAAGCCCCGGGCUCAACCUGGGAACGGCAUCCGGAACUGUCAAGCUAGAGUGCAGGAGAGGAAGGUAGAAUUCCCGGUGUAGCGGUGAAAUGCGUAGAGAUCGGGAGGAAUACCAGUGGCGAAGGCGGCCUUCUGGACUGACACUGACACUGAGGUGCGAAAGCGUGGGUAGCAAACAGGAUUAGAUACCCAGUAGUC